UACGGGGGGGGCAAGCGUUGUUCGGAAUUACUGGGCGUAAAGGGCUCGUAGGUGGCCAACUAAGUCAGCCGUGAAAUCCCUCGGCUUAACCGGGGAACUGCGUCUGAUACUGGAUGGCUUGAGGUUGGGAGAGGGAUGCGGAAUUCCAGGUGUAGCGGUGAAAUGCGUAGAUAUCUGGAGGAACACCGGUGGCGAAGGCGGCAUCCUGGACCAAUUCUGACGCUGAGGAGCGAAAGCCAGGGGAGCAAACGGG
rnacentral:rRNA from 1 species